CCUGCGGAAGGAUCAUUACCGAGUGAGGGCCCUCUGGGUCCAACCUCCCACCCGUGUUUAUCGUACCUUGUUGCUUCGGCGGGCCCGCCUCACGGCCGCCGGGGGGCAUCCGCCCCCGGGCCCGCGCCCGCCGAAGACACCAAUGAACUCUUGUCUGAAGAUUGCAGUCUGAGCAGAUUAGCUAAAUCAGUUAAAACUUUCAACAACGGAUCUCUUGGUUCCGGCAUCGAUGAAGAACGCAGCGAAAUGCGAUAAGUAAUGUGAAUUGCAGAAUUCAGUGAAUCAUCGAGUCUUUGAACGCACAUUGCGCCCCCUGGUAUUCCGGGGGGCAUGCCUGUCCGAGCGUCAUUGCUGCCCUCAAGCACGGCUUGUGUGUUGGGCUUCGCCCCCCGGCUCCCGGGGGGCGGGCCCGAAAGGCAGCGGCGGCACCGCGUCCGGUCCUCGAGCGUAUGGGGCUUUGUCACCCGCUCUGUAGGCCCGGCCGGCGCCCGCCGGCGACCCCAAAUCAAUCUAUCCAGGUUGACCUCGGAUCAGGUAGGGAUACCCGCUGAACUUAAGCAUAUCAAUA
rnacentral:rRNA from 1 species